rnacentral:sRNA from 1 species
AGCUCCAUCGGGUCGACGGCCCUGGUGACCACCAGGUAGUCGCGAAGGGCGAUCCCGUGCCGGUUCUC